rnacentral:rRNA from 1 species
UACGUACUGUGCGAACGUUAUUCGGAAUCACUGGGCUUAAAGGGUGUGUAGGCGGCCAAUUAAGUAGGGUGUGAAAGACCUCGGCCUAACCGAGGUACUGCGCUCUAAACUGUUUGGCUUGAGUGAGAUAGGGGUGUGCGGAACUUCCAGUGGAGCGGUGAAAUGUGUUGAUAUUGGAAGGAACGCCGGUGGCGAAAGCGGCACACUGGGUCUCAACUGACGCUGAGACACGAAAGCCAGGGGAGCAAACGGG